rnacentral:lncRNA from 1 species
UGCAAGGGAAGAAAGAAAGAAAAGAGAAAAGAGAAAAGAGAAGAGAAGAAGAAAAAAAGAGAAAGGAAAGGAAAAGAAGAAGAGGACCAAGGAGGAGAUCCUCUUCCUCAUCUUCAUCUUCAUCUUCUUCUUCCCCUUGGAGCUCUGGGAGAGGUAAGCUUCCAAGCCCUCUCAUGGUAGAUUUUUUGUAACAUACCAGAUUUUGGUAUAAAAAUAAAAAAAAAUAAAAAUAGUGUGAGAAACUAUUUUUAUUGAAUUUGUAGGAGUAAAAUGUCACGCCCCGGGACCGGCGGAGGCCCUCCCGGUAGCGUGCCCAGACCCGCCAUAUGCCUACACAUAUAAGGCGUCUACAAGAAAAGCGGAAGUAAAAGCAAGAGAUGGAACAAAUAAAAGAAGUGAAAUAACUAGCAACUAAUGAUAUCAGAGCGAGUAAAGUUCUAACAUCUACACCAAUAGUAAUAGAACGUAACUAAAACAUAAAAGUAAACAUAAGUUAUACAGAAUCAGCCUCUAAUACAAAAAUGGUGGUCACUAGUACACGGGUAAAACUCUCAACCUUUCCAAAAUGAAAUACAACGAGAGGUAGACCACCUAGCAAAUCGUCCUCGAAGGAAGCUA